AUUGAACGCUGGCGGCAGGCCUAACACAUGCAAGUCGAGCGGAUGAAGGGAGCUUGCUCCUGGAUUCAGCGGCGGACGGGUGAGUAAUGCCUAGGAAUCUGCCUGGUAGUUGGGGAUAACGUCCGUAAACGGGCGCUAAUACCGCAUACGUCCUGAGGGAGAAAGUGGGGGAUCUUCGGACCUCACGCUAUCAGAUGAGCCUAGGUCGGAUUAGCUAGUUGGUGGGGUAAAGGCCUACCAAGGCGACGAUCCGUAACUGGUCUGAGAGGAUGAUCAGUCACACUGGAACUGAGACACGGUCCAGACUCCUACGGGAGGCAGCAGUAGGGAAUAUUCGACAAUGGGCGAAAGCUUGAUCCAGCCAUGCCGCGUGUGUGAAGAAGGUCUUCGGAUUGUAAAGCACUUUAAGUUGGGAGGAAGAGCAGUAAGUUAAUACCUUGCUGUUUUGACGUUACCAACAGAAUAAGCACCGGCUAACUUCGUG
rnacentral:rRNA from 1 species